GACAGAGGUGCCGAGCGUUAGGCGGAAUCACUGGGCUUAAAGCGUGUGUAGGCGGAUGCCUAAGUACCUUGUGAAAUCCCACGGCUUAACCGUGGAACUGCUCGGUAUACUGGGUGUCUUGAGCCACUUAGGGGCGACCGGAACAAACGGUGGAGCGGUGAAAUGCGUAGAUAUCGUUUGGAACGCCAAUGGUGAAAACAGGUCGCUGGGAGUGUGCUGACGCUGAGGCGCGAAAGCGUGGGGAGCAAACAGG
rnacentral:rRNA from 1 species